AAGCGCAAAAACAGGCAACAAAUAUUGACACCGGAUACUAAUACAUGCGGACCAGCAAUGCGGACAAGGGGGGGUAGAAAAGUUAAGGAUGCACAUUGUGAGGAGAAGGUACGCAGGAGAAAGCUAAUAAUUUUACCAGAUAGUGACUUGGACACUCCGAUGGAAAACAUUGAGAAAAGAAAAAAAGGCGAGGGCGAUCAGGACGGGCCGGCAACACGUACAAGAGGAG